rnacentral:lncRNA from 1 species
UACCCAUCCCAGCUUGGUGUCAUCUGCAAAUCUACAGUGGAACACUUCUUUUGAAGUGUUUGAGUUUGCAAAGUCUUAAUUUUGUUGCAUUUUUAUAAUUGCCCCAUAAUACAAGUUAUCUGGGCAGCAUACAAAACAAAUAAAAGAGUUGAAAUGCAGCAUGAAACUAUUAAAACUUAAACAUAAUUAAAACGCUUUUUAAAAAAAUGGACAAGAGAACCAGACCAUAAGACUUAAUUGGUGGAGGGGAGGAAACCAUUAAUAUGACAUUAGGUGAAUUACUCUAGGAAUACUGCUCAAUAACUGGGUGCCACUACUGAAAGGCUCUCUAGGGAUCAGCAUGGACUUGAGAAUACACAUAUGCUAUUGCAAGCAUCCAUAAUUCUGAUAAGUAUCAGGCACUGUGUUUUUCAGUCAUCUUCUGCACUGGGUAUUUGUCCAGCUUCUCACAUGGCUAACUUUGCUACUACCCUAUUCCCCCAUAUUUCUUUUCUAGGCAACCUCUGGGUCAGACAGAACAUAGACUCCUGCCCAGUGAAUAUGUCGACAUUAAUAAAACUUUUCUGUCCUCAGCUGCUGACUGAUCCAAACCCUUUGACCCUCUAGAAAAUUGAAGGCACAAUGAGAAAUUUCUCAUAAAAAUGAGUGUGAUUGCAAAGCAAGGAACUGAAGAGGAGGCAGCAUGACUCCAAUUCAUGGCAUAGACUCAGUGGUGCAACAAAUGCAAAUUUACUUUCUGCCUUUGUUUAAUCGUUCAGAGUCUUUAGGGCAUUACCUUUACUGCUCGUAACCAACACAUAUAAAUAAGAGUAUAGGCAUUUUCCUCCAGACAACAGAACAGCAGGGCAUUUUUUCAGGCAAGUUCUGAAAACAGUGAAUUCUAUCAAGGAAUUCAUUGUUUCUGGAAGCUGCCCUUUGCAAUAACUUACUAAAUGUGGCUGUUGGUGGGGGGGGGGUUCAUCGCAGCUGCAAACACACUUCAUCCCAGAGCUGGCCGUGCGGAUGCUUUGCAAGACAAUUGAUGCCUAUAGUAGUAAUGAGAAAACAUUCUUCUGCCCCCACAUCAAGAAAACUGCCAGCGCAUCGUAGGGAACCCUCAGCAUCAUCUGCUGUGGCUCUUUGUGAAAUAGUCAAAGGGUGCCCUUGACUCCAGUAAGCAGGUAGACUUCACUGCCAUAGAACAGCAGCUCCCUGUUGUGAGAAAACAAUGGAUCUUUUGUGCUUGAUAGCUAGCUGGGUCUGACAGCCAGGGGAACGCCAAAGGAAAGCACUUCUCUGUCUGAACUGAGCAAGAGCAAACUGAUUUCCUGCAGAAUUGCCACAAAACUGGAUCUCCUCCUCUUGCGAUAAUGAAGUUAUGACACCCUCUGGAGUGACUCCAUCAGAAUUGUACACAGAAAUUGUAUUUUCUGUAGCUCACCGGUGUUGCUCUCCUGUUUCCAACGCCAAAGACAAAUGAAUGAAGGGUGCACAUCCUGACACACUUAUGGACACUCAUCAGGAAGCCACGUCUCAAGCAGAACUUCCUGAUGUGCAUUUGUCUGUAUUUAUGGACUUCUGUCUUUCAUUCAUAUACUGCAUGUAUUAACUGAAUGAAUGUCACACCCGUGGCAUUCAUUGGGGCCAGGUUUGUCCCACCCCUCUUCCCAGAGGAAGCAAUGUGAACCUGGCAGCCAGUGUUGGUAUGCUGGUGACUCUGGCCAAUAGGGAAGGCUGUUAUCGCCUUUCUAUAGAGGGAUGCAAUCUUUCUCCUGAGGUUAUUCUGUGAAGCCUGCUUAUCUUACUGGUUGGUAGAUGGGGUGACAGUAGCCAAGUAUAAACUGAUUCAUUCAUGAGGCAGGUAAUGUAUGCAUUGAGGGAGAUUGAGAUAGACUUCCCUGAUGAGACUUCCUAAGGUGCUUUCAUACUUCUCACUGCCACUCAGUUCAAAGGGUGGUGGUACUUGUCAGGGCUGUAGCUGAGUGGUAGAGCAUCUGCAUUCAGAAGGUCAAAUGUGCAAGACCCAGUGUUUCCAGAACUGGGAAUGUAUCUGAAAUCCUGGAGCCACACUGCCAGUCAGUGUAGACAAUACAGAGCCAGACAGAUCACAAUGAUCUGACUCGGUAUAUGGGAACGACCUAUGUUCCUGGAGGCUUCAUCCAAUUGAUUGCAGGCCGGCAGAGAUGGGAUUAAGUAGCAGUCAGAUACCUCCUUGGUUUGCCUUAAUGAGAGCUAGUGAUGAAAGCCAGUAAUGGUCUGGAUGUGGGCCACUAAAUGGAAAUGGAGUACCUAGAAGAGGAAAGUUGAGAUUGGUCUGGAAGCUGCAGCUGGUGGAGAAUGCUGUAGCAAGUUUACUCUUGAAUAAGCUGUACUAGCUGCCAUUGAGCUACUGGGCUAUGUUCAAGGUUUUGUUUUAAUCUACAACACUCUGAACAACUUGGGAGAGGAUCUUUGUGGUGGCCCCUUUUCUAUGGAAUUGCCUCCACUCUGAGUGCUGACAGUGGUGAUGACAUGUUGUUAUUUGUAAAAAACAACAACCAUAUCCGUGCACACAAGUCUUUUCUGUUUUUUAAUGUCAGGAAUUAAUGAUGCUCUUGGGCUAUUGCUUAUAUUUAUGAGGUGGUAUUCAACUGAAUAUAUGUGUUAAUGCAAGAAUUAGUGCUAGUGUGAGAGGACUGUGCCUCCUUCUCCUCUCUGUGUGCCCCAUGCCAGGCCCAAAUCACCCCUGCAAGAUUGGAUGAAGGCCCCUCACAGAUUUAGGAGUGUGCAAGGGAAGGAGAAGGUGAGAGCAUUUCAUGCACAAGGAGAAAUCCUUGUGCCAACCGAAUGUUCUUGUUAGUGGUGCAUUGAAUACAACCCAUUAUUGUAAUGUUACCAUUUUUAUUAUUUCGUUGUUUUAUCAUUUUAUAAAUAAAUAAAAACAAAUAAUCAUUGGCUAAGAAUGGGGAUGGGUAUAUAUUUAUUCUUUCUUCACAAUUUUUCUUCAAGGGGAAGGAGAAGUGUUUUUUUAUGUCUUCUACUUUUAAUUUAGGAGCACAAACAUAUUAUGGAGAUAUGGAAGGGAAAUGUAUGCAUAAAGGCCAGCUAUGCUGUCUCAAAUUAUUGUGCUUAAAUUUGUAUAAAAGCUUUUUUGUGGGUGGCCAAAGUACUCCUCUAGUUAUUCAGAUCCCUGGCAAGUUAGCUGGGCUCUGAAGUGUUGCUGAGCUUGGGAGAAACAUAGUAAUUGUUUGGUGCAAAAGGAUAAUAGGAUAGCUAACGGACAUUGUGAUGGACUGGGUAUACACUGGGUGAAGAGAACAUUUAUCAGAAGGACUGCCUCUGUUUCAGGACUACAGCCAGUGAUGUCACUUUGAUUCAUCAUAUUCCAUCAGGUUUUUCCAGGAAUUAUUUUGUGACUAAUAGCACAAUCCUAGAUUCUCAGUGUGUCCUAAAUGAUGCCUACUCAGAACUAAAUCCUACUGAAUUCAGUUGGACUUACUCCCAGGGAAGUGUAGUUUGGAUUUCAGCCCUAAAGAAGAAACCAAAUUCAACAUGGUAGGCUGUGGUUUGUUGGUUUUUCUGCAAUGUCUGCUUGCUCAACUCUGCUGGCUUAUUGAUCCAGUCUCCUGCUAGCUGUCAACAAUGAAGUGACACAAGAGUCACUCCAUCGACACCAGUUUCCCCUUUCCACCCAUCAAGUGGGAGCUAGCAUAAAGCAUUGGGUGCUAUCUCAAGCCAGUUGCUGCACCAGCCUGGAAAUGGCAGAUGUAACUGGCUCAAUCAUCUUCCCUUCCUCAUCAUCCACCAUGGUUGCUGGGAGCAGCCAAGUUGUGGAUGGAAAAGUGGCUCUGCAAAGCUCUGCUGGAGGGGAAUGAGGGUUUGGAUUGCUCUGUUAGUCGUGUCAGGUUUAUGUCAUGUAGGACAUGUAGGACAUGUGAAAGGCUUUGGUGAUACAUGUAUUGCUCAAGCAGUAAAUACUUUACUUUGUGAAUUAACUUCUUUUAUGAAUAAGGAAUUGUUAACCAAAGUGAUUUCAGAUACGCCAAAAUAAUACAUUGAAAUAAUGAGAUCAUGUUGCCUAUAAUAAUUUAGAAUGAAAUACUUAAUUUUUCUGUACCCACUUACAUGCUGAGUACCCACAGUACUGUAAUUAUAAUCCUGGUUGAAGUUUUAUGAUUUAUGAACAAGGCCUCGGAAUACACACACACACACACACACACACAACAAGGACUUCAGUAUGACAUGUCAGAGUGUUUUUGCUUUAGAUAGGAAAAGGCUGAGGGAAGAAGCUUCUCUCUGGGGAAAUAGCAACUUUAUCAAGGCUGAGACGAGACAAAGAGAUUAGUGAGUAGCUGGGAGAAAAAACAACAGCUAGCUCUAUCUUCCAUUCAUCAUGUCUCCACCCUAAUAAUGGCUAUGUGCUUUAUCUUUCAGGUAGCGAUUGACUCAGGUUAAAAACAACAAUGCACUAUUAAAGAUGAGAAACAAUGAAUAUUAAUAAAGUCAGAACUAUUGGCUUGCUCUUAUGUGCACAUGGAACUGGCAUCUAAAAAUUUCCCAGUGUGACCAGAGAGGUUGAGAACAAGUAUUAACACACCUCUGUGUGUGUAUUAGGCAUAUGCACCAGGCACAAUAAUGGGUAUGGAUGCCACUUCGGUGCUUCAGGAAACAGCCUGCCUUGAUCUGAGGUACUUCAUAGUCUGCCCAAUUUAACUCUGUCCAAGUCUCUUUAAUUUCACUGCUAGGAAGUGGAUGAAAUUUGUAGGCAUACUAGCCACUCAAGAGUGGGCAAAGCUUGCUGAGUUUCAUACAAUUUGUGGGCAACCUUAUUGUUUUAAAAAGAAACAUCUAAAAAAUAUUCACUUUUGAAUGCUUUUGGGCAAAGGUGUCUUGCCCGGUACGUUUCUGAGCACAGUUCAAAGUGUUGGUGUUGACCUUUAAAGCCCUAAAUGGCCUCGACCCAGUAUACUUGAAGGAACGUCUCCACCCCCAUCAUUCAUCUUGGACAUUGAGGUCCAGCACCAAGGGCCUUCUGGUGGUUCCCUCCCUGAGUGAAGUGUGGUUACAGAGAACCAGGCAGAGGGCCUUCUCCGUGGUGGCACCCACCCUAAGGAACGCCCUCCCACCAGAUGUCAAGGAAAUAAACAACUAUCUAACUUUUAGAAGACAUCUGAAGGCAGCCCUGUUUAGGGAAGUUUUUAAUGUUUGAUAUUUUAUCACUUUAUUAACAACAACCACAACAGCAGAAGCAACA